rnacentral:rRNA from 1 species
CAGCCGCCACGGUAAUACGGAGGGUGCGAGCGUUAAUCGGAAUUUCUGGGCGUAAAGGGUGCGUAGGCGGUUGUUUAAGUCUGUUGUGAAAUCCCCGGGCUCAACCUGGGGAUGGCAAUGGAAACUGGACGGCUAGAGUGUGUCAGAGGAUGGUGGAAUUCCCGGUGUAGCGGUGAAAUGCGUAGAGAUCGGGAGGAACAUCAGUGGCGAAGGCGGCCAUCUGGGACAACACUAACGCUGAAGCACGAAAGCGUGGGGAGCAAACAGGAUUAGAUACCCCCGUAGUCCCUGUCUCUUAUAA